AUUGAACGCUGGCGGCAGGCCUAACACAUGCAAGUCGAACGAGUGGCGGACGGGUGAGUAAUGUCUGGGAAACUGCCCGAUGGAGGGGGAUAACUACUGGAAACGGUAGCUAAUACCGCAUACCAUCGGAUGUGCCCAUAUGGGAUUAGCUAGUUGGUGGGGUAACGGCUCACCAAGGCGACGAUCCCUAGCUGGUCUGAGAGGAUGAUCAGCCACACUGGAACUGAGACACGGGCCAGACUCCUACGGGAGGCAGCAGUGGGGAAUAUUGCACAAUGGGCGCAAGCCUGAUGCAGCCAUGCCGCGUGUAUGAAGAAGGCCUUAGGGUUGUAAAGUACUUUCAGCGGGGAGGCGUUACCCGCAGAAGAAGCACCGGCUAACUCCGUGCCAGCAGCCGCGGUAAUUC
rnacentral:rRNA from 1 species